UACAGAGGUUCCAAGCGUUGUUCGGAUUCACUGGGCGUAAAGGGUGCGCAGGUGGGUUUGCAAGUUCGAUGUGAAAGCCCCGGGCUUAACCCGGGAAUGGCAUUGGAUACUGCAGAUCUGGAGGUUCGGAGGGGGGACUGGAAUUCUUGGUGUAGCAGUGAAAUGCGUAGAUAUCAAGAGGAACACCAGUGGCGAAGGCGAGUCCCUGGACGACACCUGACACUGAGGCACGAAAGCUAGGGGAGCAAACAGG
rnacentral:rRNA from 1 species